rnacentral:rRNA from 1 species
GACGAACGCUGGCGGCGUGCUUAAUACAUGCAAGUCGAACGGAAAGGCGCUGCGUUUGUUGGGUGCUCGAGAGGCGAACAGGGGAGUAACACGCGAGUAACCUGCCCUUGACAGUGGGAUAACUUCAGGAAACUGGGGCUAUUACCCGGGAGGAGCUCCUGCUGCACGGGGUGGAUUGGAAAGUUACGGCGGUUUGGGAUGGACUAGCGGGUUAUCAGCUUGUUGGUGGGGUAGUGGCUUACCAAGCCUUUGAAGGGUAGCCGGCCUGAGAGGAUUACCGGCCACAUUGGGACUGCGAUACGGCCCAGACUCCUACGGGAGGCAGCAGUGGGGAAUAUUGCACAAUGGGCGGAAGCCUGAUGCAGAAACGCCGCGUGCGGGAUGACGGCCUACGGGUUGUAAACCGCUUUCGCCUGUGACGAAGCGUGAGUGACGGUAAUGGGUAAAGAAGGCCCGGCUAACUACGUG